ensembl:lncRNA FIRRE firre intergenic repeating RNA element
UGGUGCCUUCAGGCUCUGGGGCCUAGGACCUUUGUGGUAGCAGAGUCACUGCAGAGAACCAGACAAUACCAGGUUGCUUAUAAAAGGAUGCCAUGUGCUUGCUGGAGGUCCCAGGUGCAACCAAAUUGCUUGCAGCUAGGAGGACCUUGAAGAGAAAUGGGAUCAGCCCGCCAAACCAAGAAGGGUUAGCACUUUUGCUAGGAGAGCUGACCACGCACAAACAGAUGAGAACCAAAACCGAGUGAAGAGGAUUGAAGAUGAACCCACAUUUUAAAAGUUCUUGUCUGCUGGAGGUGGCAUUACCUGUGACCUCGCUUCACUUCUCCAUACAUGGCUGUUAUAGCAGAAAAUCCAGCUUUCUGAAGCAUAUUUCACGACAUAUGAUGAGACUUAUGUGAUGUGAGACCUGAGAAAACUAUGAUAGAAAGAAGCAACUCAAGUUGCAAGGAUAUUCCUCAUGUAUCAUGCAAGGAUAUUCCUCAUAUAUCAUAGACUAAGGUGUCAGUAUGUUCUUCAAGCUGCUCUGCUCCUGGGCCCAAGCUAUUCUCCUGCCUCAGCCUUCCAAGAAGCUGAAACUACAAGAACACAAGACUGUACCUGGCUUGCAAACACCAUUGCUAAUAAGAAGAUAUUGUAAGACUGAUACCUAAGAGAUAAGAGAGUCUCACUCAUUCUGUCGCCCAGGCUGGAGUGCAGUGGCGUGAUCUCAGCUCACUGCAACCUCCACCUCCCGGAUUCAAGCGAUUCUCCUGCCUCAGCCUCCUGAGUAGCUGGGACUACAGGCCCUCCCUCCGUUGCCCAGGUGGGAGUGCAGUGGUGUGAUGUCAGUUCACUGCAACCUUGGCCUCCCGGAUUCAAGCGAUUCUCCUGCCUUAACCUUCCGAACAUGGAUCCCUGAGGUCGGUCCCCAAUACGACAAGACAAUUUGAUAUCAUAAUAGAACACUGCAGAAACAAUGCUGAGUGAAGAAGAGUAGAAAUGGGAAGACUUGGUUGAGCGGAAACUGAGUUCUUGAAAAGAGGAGAUGCUUGAUGAGGGCAUGGAUCCCUGAGGUCUGCCCCAGUACUAUAAGACAAUUUGAUGUAAGAAAACACAGCAGAUAUAAUACUGAGUGAAGAAGAGUAUAAAUGAGAAGAUUGGUUGUGCAGAUACUGAGUUCAUGAAAAGAGGAGAUGAUUGAUGAGGCCAGGUGCGGUGACUCAUGCCUGUAAUCCCUGCACUUUGGGAGGCUGCGGCGGGCGGAUCACCUGAGGUCAGGAGUUCGAGACCAGCCUGGGAGACAGAGCAUGGAAACCUAAGGUCUGUACCCAAAACUACAGGACUAUUUGACAUCAUAAUAAAACACUGCAGAUAUGAUGCUGAGUAAGAGUAGAAAUGGGAAGACUUGGUUGUGCAGUAACUGAGUUCUUGAAAAGAGGAGAUGCUUGAUGAGGGCAUGGAUCACUAAGGUCUGUUCCCAAUACAAGAAGACUCUUUGACAUCAUAAUAAAAUACUGCAGAUACGAUGCUGAGUGAAAAAGAGUAGAAAUGGGAAGACUUGGUUGUGCAGAAACUGAGUUCUUAAAGAGAGGAGAUACUUUAUGAGGUUGCAGGGCUUUGACUCCUGGGUACAUGUAUCUCAUCUGAAAGGGAAUCCUGACGCCUACUGAAUCUUAAUAGUCAAUAUUGAUAUCUGGCAUCAAAUUCAAGUUGACCAAAGUUCCAUCUUCAGACCUGGGAGAAGAUGACAGUCAAAAUGAACUGCUUUCAUGUGACACUGGACCAGGCCUAUAUACAAAGGCAUAAGUAAUCAUUGAAUAAUGUUUCAUCUAUCUAUCUUAAUAUAAUUUGUUCUAUGCCUUACUAGAUAAAUGUUUAGUUACCUGUGAGUUUUCUUUUCCUGCCAUUGUCAGAGCUAGGCAGGGCUUAAGUCCCUUUCGUUUAAACAUUACUAACUCUAUACAUAGCUUGCAAAAUUGGAUAAAACAACAAAGGUUACUUUUUCACUCUCUCUCUGCUUAAUAUCUCUGAAAUUUAAAACUAUUCAGAAUCCCACUGGGCCCGAUCUAUUUUCAAUGCUAAUGCUCCACUGCUAAAACUAUAUAAGCAUCUUCCCUCUAGGCUCAGGCACUAUCUUGGAAGAGGUAAAUGUGUAAGAUUGUAAAGGUUGAUUUUUGAGCAACAAAAUUAAUUUAGAUCUUCCAAAUAAAAAAUGGGCACACAGAUGCCCAAACAGUUGGCAAAAUAAGAUACUUUACCUCCUGGACCAGUAUGUGGACCUUUUUCAUCCAUCCCAACCAUAAUUUCCUCUUUCCUGUAGAAUUAAAAGAAAAUUGCAAAGAGGAUAUGAACUUUUCUGGUAAGAAAACCUCCUGGGUAUAGUGCUCCCAGUUAUGAGAUUUAUGCAGAUUGUUAUAUAAAGUUUUUUUAAAUCAAGCACCUUAGGACAAACUAUUAAAAAGACUGCUAAAAGCGUUGUGACACAACAAAAGUCUCUAAAUUCUGUAGCUUAAAAAGUUUUAACAAAGUACUUAUCUUUUGCAAGCUAAUUGCUACAAGUCUAUAACUAAAACAUGUAUUGACUGAUGUCUUAGGUCUCCCUAAAAUAUAUAAAACCAAGUUGUAAACCAAUCACCUUGGACACAUGUUCUCAGGACCUCUGGAGACUGUGCCUUGGGCCAUGGUCACUCAUAUUUGGCUGAGAAUAAAAUUUUAAAAAUAUUUUACAGAGUUGGGUUUUUCUUGUUGGCUUUUUCAUAAAAUGUAAAAUGUUUGAGAAAGACACUUCUCAAGUGGCCAAGUGAGGAUAUUCUAGCUUAAUGCGUAGAAUUUAUAGCUAAGUCAAUUUUGUAACCUUGCCUUUUGACUUUUGGUUCUUGAUGCUUACAUUACAAAAUUUUAAGGUUUGAUAAAUGCCUGCUCCACUUCCAUUCCCAUCUGGCCUAGGAUAUUUAAAUUGGCUAUAAGUCUUUUGGCUCUACAUCUGUUGGCCGUGAGUCCCCACCAAGGGAUAGGAUAGACCCAGGGCACAUAGCCACACCACCCCAGCAAUGGUAUGCAACAAAAUGAUAGUUUGGCCAUUGAUGUUGCCUCUGGGAAAUUUUUUUUUUUUUUUUGACGAAGUCUUGCUCUGUUGCCCAAGCUGGAGUGCAGUGGUGUGUUCUAGGCUGACUGCAACCUUUGCUUCCUGGGUUCAAGUGAUUCUCUUGCUUCAGCCUCCCAAAUGGCUGGUAUUACAGACGUGCACCACCACACCUGGCUAAUUUUUUUUUUUUUUUUUUGAGACAGAGUCUCACUCUGUCAUUCAGGCUGGAGUGCAGUGGCACAAUCUCGGUUCACUGCAACCUCCAUUUCCCGGGUUCAAGUGAUUCUCCUGCCUCAGCCUCCUGAGUAGCUGGGAUUAUAGGCAUGCACCACCAGGCCCAGCUAAUUUUUGUAUUUUUUUGUAGAGAUGGGGUUUCGCCAUGUUAGUCAGGCUAGUCUCGAACUCCUGACCUCGUGAUCCACCUGCCUCGGCCUCCCAAAGUGAUGGGAUUAUAGGCGUGAGCCACUGUGCCUGGCCUAAUUUUAGUAUUUUUAGUAGAGAUGGGGUUUCGCAAUGUUGGCCAGGCUAGUCUCGAACUCCUGACUUCAGGUGAUCUGCCUGCCUUGGCCUCCCAAAGUGCUGGGAUUACAGGUGUGAGCCACCACGCUUGGCCUCCUCUGCUCAAUCCUGACCAGAAAAAUCAAAUUCUAACUCCCCCAAUCAACUGAAUUCCCCUCCAUUCAUCUGCCAAGGGGAUUCUAAAGAAUCCUGAAAACUAGUUCAGGCCAUGACAAUUGACAUUAAAACAGAUCUUAAAACUGACAAAACAGAUUCUUUGUAGCAAUAAGAUACCAAAUUUCAACCUGACUCAGGUAUAACUUCACAUGAUAAAAAAGGAAAUAAAAAUAUUUUACCCCCAAAAUAGAUUUCUUUGACAUAUUUUGAAAUGGCCCUGCAAGGCAGUUGGGGAAAUUUUGCAUCUGUAAAGCAUCUCCUUAACAUAACUAGAUCUUUCCCCUUCCAGGCCCUCCUAAACCUGAAGAGAUUAACUGAGAUUCUAGCACCUUUUAAAGUCUACAUAGGAAACAUUCACCAUUUAUUAUCUCUAAGGGCAGCCACUUAUGAGACUUCAUCUAUGUAAUAAAAACCUUGGUCUCCACAACCCCUUAUGUUAACCCAGACACUCCUUUCUAUUGAUUCCAGGUCUUUAGAAAAUAACUUAACUCCUCCAAGCAAUUGCCAAACAGAAAACCUUGGCAUCUUCCUAUGACCUGUAAGCACCCACUUUCCCCUGCUUUAAGUUGUCCUACCCUUCUGCACCAAACCAAUGUAUACCUCACAUGUAUUGAUUGAUGUCUUCUGUCUCUCUAAAACAUAGAAAAGAAAGCUGUAACCCAACCACCUUGGUCAGGACGUCUUGAGACUGUGCCUUGCGCCAUGGUCAGUCGUAUUUUGUGCAGAAUA